AGCCUCGCUCAGGAGCAUUUCUUAGUUCAGACACGGACAGAGAGCAGACAGAGACGGUCUUUCCUCCUCCCCCUCUUCUGCACUCUUGCUCCAUCUCUCGUCUGUAUUUCUCUCUCCAUCCAUCAUCUAUCCAUAUGCGUCUUUUGGAUAACUCUCCUAGAGCGCGUCAGUCUGCCUGGAUCAAUCCAUCCUCCCUCCACAUGUCAUCUCCACUGUAGUCCAACUGGAAACUGUAUUCACGGUGAUGAUGAUGCCUGGCUGAAAGGCUCGCAGACGUCUUCAUCCUCCAGUCAACUGAAGAAGAGCUUGGUGCUGCUGCUUUCCCUUCUUGGAGCGUGGCUCUGCGUGAAUGGAUUUACGGUUGUCAGAGAAAAGUUGGAUUUUGUGAAGACUCCCGUGGGACCGUAAAAUGGACAGAAUAGGAGGGCGUUUUUAGAAAAGGUGCUUUUGGGUUGGAAUCACACCGUGAGAGGAAAUGCACAGAGCGUGGAUACUCUUCUUUCUAAUAGAAGAGGGUUUUGCUCUGGCUCAGAGAACUAAAGAUCCCCCAAGCGACCAUGGAGCCCAGAGCCCCAACCAGAACGACUGUGGCACGUGGGUCCGCAACAUCAAUGGUGGGGUGUUUACUUCGCCAAACUACCCCAACACCUACCCGCCCAACAAGGAGUGCGUUUACAUCCUAG